rnacentral:rRNA from 1 species
UACGUAGGAUGCGAGCGUCGUCCGGAUUUAUUGGGCGUAAGGCGAACGUAGGUGGCUUUUUAAGUUUGGUCUUAAAGACUGGGGCUCAACCCCAGGAGUGGACUGAAUACUGGGAAGCUAGAGGAUGUUAGAGGAAAGUGGAAUUCCAAGUGUAGCGGUGAAAUGCGUAGAUAUUUGGAGGAACACCAGUGGCGAAAGCGACUUUCUGGGACAUUCCUGACACUGAGGUUCGAAAGCUCGGGGAGCAAACAGG